rnacentral:rRNA from 1 species
AGUGAACGCUGGCGGUAGGCCUAACACAUGCAAGUCGAACGGCAGCACAGUAAGAGCUUGCUCUUACGGGUGGCGAGUGGCGGACGGGUGAGGAAUACAUCGGAAUCUACUUUUUCGUGGGGGAUAACGUAGGGAAACUUACGCUAAUACCGCAUACGACCUACGGGCGAAAGCAGGGGAUCUUCGGACCUUGCGCGAUUGAAUGAGCCGAUGUCGGAUUAGCUAGUUGGCGGGGUAAAGGCCCACCAAGGCGACGAUCCGUAGCUGGUCUGAGAGGAUGAUCAGCCACACUGGAACUGAGACACGGUCCAGACUCCUACGGGAGGCAGCAGUGGGGAAUAUUGGACAAUGGGCGCAAGCCUGAUCCAGCCAUACCGCGUGGGUGAAGAAGGCCUUCGGGUGGUAAAGCCCUUUUGUUGGGAAAGAAAAGCAGCAGGUUAAUACCCCGCUGUUCUGACGGUACCCAAAGAAUAAGCACCGGCUAACUUCGUG